UUCUGUCUCUUCACACCACGUAGUCUUCUUCAUUAUUGGAAUAUAUCUUCUUACACAAAUAAAGAAAUGUACAUUUCACCUAGCUAAGUUGUAGUAUAAUGUCUCUUCAUUUGACAGUCUUUUGAGAAUGUUACUUAAGAAGGGCAAAGUGAGUAAAGUUGUCAUAUAUACAUGGAUUGUAAAAAGUCACUUUAUUUUCAUUUUAUGUGUUUUAGAAAUUUUCCUUUUGUGGGAAUAAGUGAAAGAAAAUAACCUGAAUUGGAUGCAGAAGGGCUUUUGAAGAAAGAAGUUAUCUUAAAAUGAAGAGUGAAGGAUAAAACAAUGAAGCUUUUGUUCUGGCCAAAUCUGAGACAGGAGGGCAGAGCAAGAUGGCAGAAUAGAAGCCUAUGUCAUGUGUGCCCUCUGCAGGAAUACCACAUUUUAACAACUAUCUGCACACAGAAAAGCACCGUGAUAAGAAUCAAACAUCAGCCAAAGGCCCUAUGAUGUGGGAAGUGUUGCGAGAAGUCAGGGACCCUGAACGGAGGGACCUGCUGGAGCCGUGGCAGAGGAACAUAAG